UACGGAGGGGGCUAGCGUUGUUCGGAAUUACUGGGCGUAAAGCGCACGUAGGCGGCUUUGUAAGUCAGAGGUGAAAGCCCGGAGCUUAACUCCGGAAUUGCCUUUGAGACUGCAUCGCUUGAAUCCGGGAGAGGUGAGUGGAAUUCCGAGUGUAGAGGUGAAAUUCGUAGAUAUUCGGAAGAACACCAGUGGCGAAGGCGGCUCACUGGACCGGUAUUGACGCUGAGGUGCGAAAGCGUGGGGAGCAAACAGG
rnacentral:rRNA from 1 species